CAGCCGCCGCGGUAAUACGAAGGGUGCAAGCGUUACUCGGAAUUACUGGGCGUAAAGCGUGCGUAGGUGGUGGUUUAAGUCUGUUGUGAAAGCCCUGGGCUCAACCUGGGAAUUGCAGUGGAUACUGGGUCACUAGAGUGUGGUAGAGGGUAGCGGAAUUCCCGGUGUAGCAGUGAAAUGCGUAGAGAUCGGGAGGAACAUCCGUGGCGAAGGCGGCUACCUGGACCAACACUGACACUGAGGCACGAAAGCGUGGGGAGCAAACAGGAUUAGAGACCCGUGUAGUCCCUGUCUCUUAUAC
rnacentral:rRNA from 1 species